rnacentral:rRNA from 1 species
UACGUAGGGCGCGAGCGUUGUCCGGAAUUAUUGGGCGUAAAGAGCUCGUAGGCGGUUUGUCGCGUCGGGAGUGAAAACACCGGGCUUAACUCGGUGCUUGCUUUCGAUACGGGCAGACUAGAGGCAUGCAGGGGAGAACGGAAUUCCUGGUGUAGCGGUGAAAUGCGCAGAUAUCAGGAGGAACACCGGUGGCGAAGGCGGUUCUCUGGGCCGAUACUGACGCUGAGGAGCGAAAGCGUGGGGAGCGAACAGG